rnacentral:rRNA from 1 species
UACGAAGGGUGCAAGCGUUACUCGGAAUUACUGGGUCGUAAAGCGUGCGUAGGUGGUUUGUUAAGUCUGAUGUGAAAGCCCUGGGCUCAACCUGGGAAUGGCAUUGGAUACUGGCGAGCUAGAGUGCGGUAGAGGAUGGCGGAAUUCCCGGGUGUAGCAGUGAAAUGCGUAGAGAUCGGGAGGAACAUCUGUGGCGAAGGCGGCCAUCUGGACCAGCACUGACACUGAGGCACGAAAGCGUGGGGAGCAAACAGGG